rnacentral:rRNA from 1 species
CCUACGGGUGGCAGCAGUGGGGAAUAUUGGACAAUGGGCGAAAGCCUGAUCCAGCCAUGCCGCGUGUGUGAAGAAGGCCUUCGGGUUGUAAAGCACUUUCAGUGGGGAAGAAAGCCUUGGGGCUAAUACCCUCGAGGAAGGACAUCACCCACAGAAGAAGCACCGGCUAACUCCGUGCCAGCAGCCGCGGUAAUACGGAGGGUGCGAGCGUUAAUCGGAAUUACUGGGCGUAAAGCGCGCGUAGGCGGUCUGAUAAGCCGGUUGUGAAAGCCCCGGGCUCAACCUGGGAACGGCAUCCGGAACUGUCAGGCUAGAGUGCAGGAGAGGAAGGUAGAAUUCCCGGUGUAGCGGUGAAAUGCGUAGAGAUCGGGAGGAAUACCAGUGGCGAAGGCGGCCUUCUGGACUGACACUGACGCUGAGGUGCGAAAGCGUGGGUAGCAAACAGGAUUAGAUACCCCUGUAGGC